ACUGCAGCAUCUAUUGUGUGUGUACCACACCUGUUGUUGUAUAUUAUUAUGUAAAUAAUAUUGUGAGCGCAGUGUACUAUGCAGCCGCAAGGACGUCGUCAUAAACUCCAAUCACUUCGUUAUACUCGAGCAAUAAUAAUAAUAAGUGGAUCACUCUGUAUACAUUACAAUAAAUAACGAUCGACGUGCCUAUUAAUAUAAUAUGAUAUCGUCGUUUAA